GAGAGUUUUAACCCCGCCCCCUUUCGGGAGCUCGAGAUCUGAGUUUUGACCCCGCCCCCUUUCGGGGGAUCCGGAGGCGCUGCCCAGUGACCUCCACCACCCUGCCUAUCCUUGUGGAUCUCCUUGGUGCGAGCUUGAAUUUUAGGAAAUAAGUAGGUGUGUGCGCGUGCCCUUGAGUUUUAGGAACUAAGUAGGGGCGUGUGUGUGUAUUUGUGUUUUUAAUUUGGGGAGAAAGAACUGGGGGAUGAAGGUCGACAUGGCGUUCCAGAUUAAGCAUGCCGUUCAAGUAGACAGCUACUGGCACCUUAAAUUCAUAAAAGAGCAUUUAGCACCAAACUGUAAAGUGAUGUCCUCUAGAAUAAAGAACAGUACUUACCAAGAAUAGUUAGCUUGUAACCUUACGUCGACAUAGUUGUUCUUAUUUGAAUGCAGAUUUUAAAGUUUUAUCACGCAGUUGGAAACCACAGCUACUAUGAGCAUGGAUUUUUUCAUACUUAUCUCUUUCAUUUCCGUGACCACUUGGUCCAAAGGCAUCAGGAUUGUAUCCAUUUUACAAAUGAUAAAACUGAAGCUCAAAAAGGUUAAGUAACUUGAUCUAAGUCCCCACAGCUAGUAAGUGUCAAAACCCCAUCCGAAUAACUUCAAAACCUGUAGGUAUAGUCAUCAAAUGUGUCUUGAAUGGAAUUACCUACAGUGAGAGUUAGUGCAUUAGGUAACAAGCGCAGAGAGGAAUGACUGCCUCUGCUGAUGGUAACCUUGAAUUUUACAAAUGACACUGGAGCCUUUCUGAGACUAGUGUUGCAUGGGUCCUCAAUAAAAUCACACUGUUGUUACUCACUUCCUUUGGGUUUAUAACCCUGGUGAUAAAGUAAUUGAGAAUAGUGGAGUAAACCCUCGACUUGAAUUCAGGAAAAUUGUUUUCAAAUCCAGUUUCAAUAAAUCUCACAUCAGGCACUCUAUUUGAUGAAUGAAUGAACAAAACCUAACUAUAAGACACUUGACUUCAGGGAGUCUCAAUUCCUUCAUCUGUAAAAAGAUCUAAUUCCUAACUUUUGGUAAUGUUGGGGAGAGUGAAUGAAAUAAUGUGAGAGUGCUUCGUAAAUUGCAAAAGUGUUAUAAAGAAGUUACUGGUAAGAGCUACGAGUGUCUCGCUGCACUCUAGCAUGGGCGACAGUGCGAGGCCCUGUCUCAGAAAAAAAAAAAGUUACUUAUAAUGACAUUUUCAGACAUGAGAAAUGGCAUAAAAUUAAAAACAGAUUCAAGAGAAUAGUAUGUUGAGAUUGUAGAGACAGAUGUAGCUAAUGGAAAAAAGCUAAAUAAGUCUCUCUACAGAUGUUUAUUGAGUACUUAUUGCAUAUACUAUGCUUGCCAAAAAAUGUAAAAGUGUACAUUUAGUUACAAUGAAGCAGCACAAGUUAUUAUUAGUGAUUAUUGUUAUAAUUAAGUAUUGAUCACACUUAGGGGCUGCAGUCUAUUUCCUUCCAAGAGCCUGGAAGUUGGGUUGCCCUCAGAAAUAAAUAAAAAUCUACAUAGAGGAAAUUAGCUAAGAGUGAUAUUAAGUAUAUUUAACAACAAGUAGUGCUCAAGCAUAGAUGAAGCAGAAUUAGAAAUGCAGCUAGGAUCCUGGAGGUAUACGUCUGUGCUAGGUGUUAACCCUUCAGUUGCUGGUUUGUGAAUAGGAGGUCCCAAGGGAUCCCAGGGGAAGGGAGUGGUCAGGAGGUUUGGGACAGCAGCUAUUUACCAGGUAGUACUAGAGUAUUUCAGUAUUUUAAUAGUCAAUGUUAUAACUGAUAACAGUCAAUUGAUACAUAUAAGCCUAAUAUUAGUCCUUGCUAUAGUCUUUAUUAUCAAUAGCCUCCGCCCUUCCCUUUCUAAAGCCGUUGCUAUCUGGCCUGUCCCUAGGAGAUUAGGGUGAAAGACUUCUCACCCUAAUGUCGUCAAGCUUGGCCUUGUUUUGACCAAUGAAAUAUGAGUAGAAAUGGCAUGAACCGGCCGGGCACGGUGGCUCACACCUGUAAUCCCAGCACUUUGGGAGGCCGAGGUGGGUGGAUGACGAGGUCAGGAGUUCGAGACCAGCCUGAUCAACAUGGUAAAACCCCGUCUCUACUGAAAAUACAAAAAUUAGCCGGGCAUGGUGGCACACGCCUGUAAUCCCAGCUACUCAGGAGGCUGAGGCAGGAGAAUCACUUGAACCUGGGAGGCAGAGGUUGCAAUGAGCCGAGAUCGCACCAUUGCACUCUAGCCUAGGUGACAGAGCGAGACUCUGUCUCAAAAAAUAGAAAAGCGGCACUAAAAGAUAUAGUUCAUGUGCUGCUGGAGUUCAAAAAGGGAAAGCUUACUUCCACUUAGUAUGAAAUAGUGGGAGGAGUUCAGGAAAGAUUUGCAAGGAUGUGACAUUUGAACUGGGUCUUGAAAAAUGAGUAAAAUUAGGGAAGACAUGUAGGCAGCCACUAAAGCAAAUAGAAGAAGCGAGGGAUCAGUUGAGGAAACACAGAGUAAGAGGGAAUGGAAGAAGAAUCAUGGAAAGAUACAUUAUUAUGGUUAAAUUAAGGCUCUUGGGCUUUAUUUUCUGAUACGGGAAGUGAGUGGUAGAAGUUUUUUGUUUUGCUUUUAAACAGGUUUAACCAUUUUUUUUUUUUUUUUUUUUUAGGAGAUGGAGUUUUGCUCUUGUUGCCGGGGCUGCAGUGCAAUGGUGCAAUCUCGGUUCACUGCGACCUCCGCCUCUCGGGUUCAAGCGAUUCUCCUUUCUCAGCCUACCGAGUAGCUGGGAUUACAGGCGCGUGCCACCAGGCCCGGCUAAUUUUUGUGUUUUUAGUAGAGACGGGGUUUCAUUAUGUUGAUCAGGCUGGUCUGGAACUCCUGACCUCAGGUGAUCCACCUGCCUUGGCCUCCCAAAGUGCUGGGAUUACAGACGUGAGCCACCGCCCCUGGCCUAAAUUUAACCAUCUUUAAGUAUACAUUUCAGUGACAUUAAGCCUGUUCACGUUGUGCAUCCAUCAGCAGAAUUUGUCAUUAUCCCAUACUGAAAUUCUGUAUACGUUAAACGCUUACGCCCUAUUCUCUUUUCCCCAGCCUCUGGUAACCACCAUUCUACUUUCACCUUUUGGCCACUGUGAAUGAUGCUUCUGUGGACAUUAGUAUACAAAUAUCUGUUGGAGUCCCUGCUUUCAAUUAUUGGGGGUAUAUACCCAGAAGUGAAAUUGCUGGAUUAUAUGGCAAUUCUUAUGUUUAAUUUUUUUUUUUUUUUGAGGAGCCACCAUACUGUUUUCCAUAGCAUCAUACCAUUUUACAUUCCCAAUGGUAGAAGGUUUUACAGAAGAUAGUGACAUGAUCAAAACUAUGAUUAAAAGCAAUCUGGAAAAGAGAGUAAGAUGGAGUAGAGUGGCAGAAUGACCAUGUGGAGACUUCCACAAUGGUUUAGGCAAGAUAUAAUGAGGGCGAGGGCCUGAACACAUCAUCAGCAAUGAGAAUGGAGGAAAGAGGAUACAAAUGCUGAGGUGAUAUUGCCAAGGAAAGAUUGUAAGGACUUGACCAUUGACUGGCGAUUGAGGGGUUAGGGAACAAGAAAAUUAAGGGUUUUUUUUGUUUUUGUUUUUGAGACGGAGUCUCAUUCUGUCACCCAGGCUGGAGUGCAGUGGCGCAAUCUCAGCUCACUGCAAACUCCGCCUCCCGGGUUCACGCCAUUCUCCUGCCGCAGCCUCCCGAGUAUGUGGGACUACAGGCACCAGCGACCAUGCUCGGCUAAUUUUUUUGUAUUUUUUUAGUAGAAACGGUGGGUUUCACCGUGUUAGCCAGGAAGGUCUCGAUCUCCUGACCUCAUGAUCCACCCACCUCAGCCUCCCAAAGUGCUGGGAUUACAGGCGUGAGCCACUGUGCCCGGCCAAAUUAAGGUGUUUAAUAUGACUCCCAUGUGUCACACCUGGGAGGAUGGUAGUCUUCAGAUGAAGAGUCAGGGUAUGGAGAAGUCAUGAGUUCAAGUUUGGAUAUAUAGAGUUCGAAUUACAAGUGGCACAUUGUAAGCUGUGGGGUGGACAUUUGUUGUCUUGCCUGCUGAAUACCCCUUGCCCUUUCAACUGGUAAUGGCACUCUACUUUUUUUCUUUUGAGACAGAGUUUCGCUCUUGUCACCCAGGCUGGAGUGUAGUGGUGUGAUCUCAGCUCACUGCAACCUCUGCCUCCCAGGUUCGAGCUAUUCUCCUGCCUUAGCCUCCCAAGUAGCUGGGAUUACAGGUGCCCACCACCACACCCAGCUAAUUUUUUGUAUUUUUAGUAAAGACGGGGUUUCACCAUGUUGGCCAAGCUGGUCUUGAACUCCUGACCUCAGGUGAUCUGCCCCCCUGCCUCAGCCUCCCGUAGUGCUGAGAUUAUAGGCGUAAGCCACUGCGUCCAGCCUACUUUUUUUUUUUUUCUUUAAAGGUUGUAGAAUUUAUCCUUCUUCAUCUAUGUAUUGGCUAGGCUGGGAGGGUGUGUGGCCAUGAGAAUGUGCUUCUCAGAUCUCUGACUGAGGAAAUUGUAAUUUACCAGCAGUCCAGCUGCUGAGUUCUGAAAUCCAUCCUGAGCUUUGAAAUCCAUUGCCCUUUACUCCGAGGUCUUACUUCCCAUACGCUGCUCAUAGCCAAUAACUGAGCCCAACGGGGAUUUUAGGACAGGACUGUUCCUGGGAUAAGUGAUACUCUUCCGAUGGGUGACUUUGACUCAAGGACUCCUCAAUGGCCUUGCCAAACUUUCCUUAGAACUUCAUUGCAGUCUGAGACACUUCCACCUUGAACACCUUCCCUCUGUCCUUCACUCAGGGUCAGGCCUGCGUCACUGUGCGAUGGCUCUCUCAGUCUUCCCCUUCCAUUUCCUCUC
rnacentral:lncRNA from 1 species